rnacentral:rRNA from 1 species
GUCUCAGUUCGGAUUGUAGUCUGCAACUCGACUACAUGAAGCUGGAAUCGCUAGUAAUCGCAGAUCAGAAUGCUGCGGUGAAUACGUUCCCGGGUCUUGUACACACCGCCCGUCACACCAUGGGAGUCGGAAAUGCCCGAAGCCGGUGACCCAACCAAAAGGAGGGAGCCGUCGAAGGCAGGUCUGAUAACUGGGGUGAAGUCGUAACAAGGUACC